GAUGAACGCUGGCGGCGUGCCUAAUACAUGCAAGUCGAGCGAACAGACGAGGAGCUUGCUCCUCUGACGUUAGCGGCGGACGGGUGAGUAACACGUGGAUAACCUACCUAUAAGACUGGGAAACUUCGGGUAACCGGAGCUAAUACCGGAUAAUAUAUUGAACCGCAUGGUUCAAUAGUGAAAGACGGUUUUGCUGUCACUUAUAGAUGGAUCCGCGCCGCAUUAGCUAGUUGGUAAGGUAACGGCUUACCAAGGCAACGAUGCGUAGCCGACCUGAGAGGGUGAUCGGCCACACUGGAACUGAGACACGGUCCAGACUCCUACGGGAGGCAGCAGUAGGGAAUCUUCCGCAAUGGGCGAAAGCCUGACGGAGCAACGCCGCGUGAGUGAUGAAGGUCUUCGGAUCGUAAAACUCUGUUAUUAGGGAAGAACAAAUGUGUAAGUAACUAUGCACGUCUUGACGGUACCUAAUCAGAAAGCCACGGCUAACUACGUGCCAGCAGCCGCCGUAA
rnacentral:rRNA from 1 species